GCGAGAGGGCAGGGCGUGUGAAGGAAAGUGAGAAGGCGGGGCCGUGUCUGCUGUGUUUUGCUGGGAGCUCAGAGGUAACUGCCCAUCAAACUGCAAUGCUCCCCUGCAAUUGAAACCAGAUGUCAGAGACUUCAAAGGGAAGGAGGCUGGACGGAGGGUAAGAAGCCCCAACUCUGAUGUUCCAAGGAACGGCCAGGCAGGACUUUGAAAUGAGAAACCUGUUGCUGACCAUCACCAGGCUGAGAUAACCAAGAUGCUGAGAGGCUAAGUAACUCGUCUGAGGUCAUGCAGCCAGCGAUCGGCAGAGACAGGGCUUGUACUUGGCAAUCUGUGCUCAGGGCCCAGGCACUUAACAAUACGCUAUAGCCCACAUGCACACACUGUGUGAGUGUGUGCCUGCAAGUCAAGUGGAUUGUGAUACAAAUUUUCAACCGUCGAUCAUGGUCGAAAAUGUUUAAAAGCCCCUGGCCUACAAGCUCCUGGCUCCCCUGCAGCUCUAACCGUUUGAUUUCGAAAAGGCCGUAAAUGAAGCCAGCUUGUACCCCUGUUGGACGGCAGUUUUCAGCACCUGCAAGCAGACAGCUGACGUGCAGGCUGCAGCGAAUUGGCCUUUUCCCUACGUGACGGGGAAUAAAGUGUCUUCCCACUAAAAUGUGUUCACUGGGGCUGCCUUCAAUCCAAAGCCUUGGCAGACAACAGUGCGAAACCUUUCCUUCCUCCCGCUCAGUAAGGAAAUGACUGUGUCUUUGGACUGCCUUUGGGCGGCUGGCAUGUGCGUGAGUGUGGCUGCACGUGGGCGUGGCCACGCGCACACACGAGUGACCCAGUCUGGCGAGGGGGUUGGUCUUCCCCCAGAGGCACGAGGUCCCGGACUUUGGAAUCACCCUUCAUAUGUUUUCUGAUCAAAUUCUCUGAGAUGGAUUCUUGGCAUCUCGUCUAGGCGCUGCAAGCCACCGUUCCCCGCUGACCUGUCCUUAAGUCUUCUUUUAAGAGUAUGCGGUGACUGUAGCAAAGCUGAGACCAAGUGAAGUGCUGGCCAGGUGGAGGCCUCUCUGGGCAGGGGUGUUUCCUGCCAGGCCCACAUCCCUCGCCGUCUCCCCCCUCAUCUCUGCCAUCAGCACUCAGGUGCCCGGGACGGCGUGGAUGCUUCACGUCCAUGGCAGGCUUUGAGCUUCUUGGCAGAGAGAUAAGGUGCAGGCUCGCGGUGUGAGCCGGCUGCUUAACCUUCCUCAAGCAGGCAGGCCCUAUAGUUGACACACGCGGGCUCUCGUCAUGUGCACCGUCUCCCAUCCGAGUAGGGCUUUGGUAUUCAGUCUGCACACGCCUGUCUCUUCGUUACCUAUGGCAUGACCUACAGUUUAUUCCGAUUUUGCUGUAAGUAUCUGAACGUGGCCAGCUCCAGGGACUGCAAAGAAAGCAGGCAAUUUUUCAAAGGCAACACAGUGCUGGAGCCCUGAGGUAGAAAUUGUGCAGGAGACGUUCUUCUUCUUCCCCCCCCUUUUUUUAAAUAAAUAUUUCUCUCCGCUAAUAAAUGUUUCAUUGCAUCCAAAGUUCUCCUUUUCCAUCUACUUGGCACGGACACUCAAGGAGGAGGAGAACAAAGCAGGCAGAAGGGAGAGGUGGCAGGAACGGAGGGCAGAAACUGGGGAAACCAGUGGCAGAUUUUAAAAAUUUCUCUCUGAAACAACUGAAUGGACUCAUCCUUACUGCAGAACCAAAGGCCUGUCUGUUCUCUCCCACCCUCUUCCCUGGCAUCUUCUCUAAAACCAGCCACCGGGCCUACACAUAAAAAUAAAUUGUUAAUCAAUGAA